UGGGGGGGGGCGGGUGUUGGAGAAAGGCAGAAGCAGCCACUCAUCAGUCGCAUCCACCACGCUAAGCAAGGCGCGGUGACUCCUGAGAGGUCAGGCGGGCCAAUCGAAGGCCGAGUGAGAGAGGCCACGCCUGCAGAAAGAGUCCCGCCGAUAGCCGGGAAUCCAGGCGUAUUCAAGACUCAGGAACUCUUCCGCAUAAACACUGAAACCAGAAACAGGACGCUGACACAAUACCCAUAUUUUGAGGCAAUACAGUGUUCUUCAAAGAGCUCUCUUCGACGGGGGAAAAAAAAGCAGAGGCAGAGUCAAAGCUUAAAUGAGAACCUUACGUGAUGCGGAGAAAAAAGAAAAUCUGCUGGAGCUGAGGAUGUGUAUCCUCUUGGUGCAUGUUUGGAGUUUCACUGUCCCUGCCUCCUUCUUUUGUUAUUUUUAGGCCCCGUGGGCAGAUAAUUUUUCCCAUGAAGCAUUAGAUAGCACUACUUAAGAAAAUGUUUGAGAUCUGCGGGGGGAAAGUCUCUGGCUCUAAAAUAUUAAAAUUAAUAAAAUGUUAAUAUUUAUAAAGAAUCUGUACCAUUGAGUAACCAAGUAGUAGAUGAAGAAAAUUUUCUUUUUAUAGGAGUAUUCCAAGUAAUAAAUGAUGAGUGAUAAGACUAUCAACAUUUUGUAACCUCUGAUGAAUUGAGAGAUCAAGCCAUUGAGCAUCAACUAUAUUAUCACAAAAAGUUGAGACAUGUGCCUUUAGAAUGGAAACAUGACUGUACUCUUGUAGAAAAAAAAUUGAACUGGAAUCUCAUCAGAUAUCUAUAUCUAACUACCAAUUUAUAAGAAAUAUGGAGGCCAGAGAAACGUUAAAAAAUACUAUAGAGAUGCAAAAAGCAAAAUCUAGACUAUGAAUAUUCUACAGGAUAAAGCAAAUUUCUUCAAAAAAAAUUACAAAGGAAAAAGAUUUGGAGAUUUCCCUGGUAACCCAUGGUAAAGAAUCUGCCUGCCAAUGCACUGGACCUGGUUCAGUCCCUACUCUGUAAGAUUCCACAUGCCUGCGAGCAACUAAGCCCAAUUGUCCUCCCAAACCCACACCCUGCAACUGCUGAAGCCCUGGCACCUAGAGCCUGUCCUCCCAAACCCACACCCUGCAACUGCUGAAGCCCUGGCACUUAGAACCUGUCCUCGCACCACAACUAGAGAGUAGCUCUCGCACAGCAGCAAAGAACCAAAGCAGC